GAUGAACGCUGGCGGCGUGCCUAAUACAUGCAAGUCGAGCGAACAGACAAGGAGCUUGCUCCUUUGACGUUAGCGGCGGACGGGUGAGUAACACGUGGGUAACCUACCUAUAAGACUGGGAUAACUUCGGGAAACCGGAGCUAAUACCGGAUAAUAUUUCGAACCGCAUGGUUCGAUAGUGAAAGAUGGUUUUGCUAUCACUUAUAGAUGGACCCGCGCCGUAUUAGCUAGUUGGUAAGGUAACGGCUUACCAAGGCGACGAUACGUAGCCGACCUGAGAGGGUGAUCGGCCACACUGGAACUGAGACACGGUCCAGACUCCUACGGGAGGCAGCAGUAGGGAAUCUUCCGCAAUGGGCGAAAGCCUGACGGAGCAACGCCGCGUGAGUGAUAAAGGUCUUCGGAUCGUAAAACUCUGUUAUUAGGGAAGAACAUACAUGUAAGUAACUAUGCACGUCUUGACGGUACCUAAUCAGAAAGCCACGGCUAACUACGUGCCAGCAGCCGCGGUAAUACGUAGGUGGCAAGCGUUAUCCGGAAUUAUUGGGCGUAAAGCGCGCGUAGGCGGUUUUUUAAGUCUGAUGUGAAAGCCCACGGCUCAACCGUGGAGGGUCAUUGGAAACUGGAAAACUUGAGUGCAGAAGAGGAAAGUGGAAUUCCAUGUGUAGCGGUGAAAUGCGCAGAGAUAUGGAGGAACACCAGUGGCGAAGGCGACUUUCUGGUCUGUAACUGACGCUGAUGUGCGAAAGCGUGGGGAUCGAACAGGAUUAGAUACCCUGGUAGUCCACGCCGUAAACGAUGAGUGCUAAGUGUUAGGGGGUUUCCGCCCCUUAGUGCUGCAGCUAACGCAUUAGGCACUCCGCCUGGGGAGUACGACCGCAAGGUUGAAACUCAAAGGAAUUGACGGGGACCCGCACAAGCGGUGGAGCAUGUGGUUUAAUUCGAAGCAACGCGAAGAACCUUACCAAAUCUUGACAUCCUUUGACAACUCUAGAGAUAGAGCCUUCCCCUUCGGGGGACAAAGUGACAGGUGGUGCAUGGUUGUCGUCAGCUCGUGUCGUGAGAUGUUGGGUUAAGUCCCGCAACGAGCGCAACCCUUAAGCUUAGUUGCCAUCAUUAAGUUGGGCACUCUAAGUUGACUGCCGGUGACAAACCGGAGGAAGGUGGGGAUGACGUCAAAUCAUCAUGCCCCUUAUGAUUUGGGCUACACACGUGCUACAAUGGACAAUACAAAGGGCAGCGAAACCGCGAGGUCAAGCAAAUCCCAUAAAGUUGUUCUCAGUUCGGAUUGUAGUCUGCAACUCGACUACAUGAAGCUGGAAUCGCUAGUAAUCGUAGAUCAGCAUGCUACGGUGAAUACGUUCCCGGGUCU
rnacentral:rRNA from 1 species